UCCAAAUCCCAUGGCUUGGCGCCUCUUACUUUGCAAAGACGCCCAACCCACAACCCUCAUUUCACCUUUCUUCCAAAACCCUAACUCUAGCCCCUUCUCUCUCGUCUUAACUUCUCAGUUCUCAACCUCCUUCCUCAUCACCAAAACCCCCAAAAAGUACAAGAAGAAAACGCAAAAAAUCGGAAUCCCCCCCGCGCACCAAACCCGUCCAGCACGCCUCAACCCGAAACCCCUGUUUCGAAUUCAUCGUCGAGCGCGAUGCUUGCUUCAGAUUCCUCACCAAAUCCAAGCAAUUCCUCUCCCAACAACCCGAGCACGUUCUGCGACUCGACGACGCUGGAAAGCUGUAUCGGGAGCUUGGCUUCCCACGUGGCCGCAAAGCUACCCGCUUUGUUCACCGCCACCCGCUCAUCUUCCAAACUUAUCGGC
rnacentral:misc_RNA from 1 species